AUGCAGUUUGACAUCAACGAAACUUCGCAAAGGUCAGCUGUAGAAGAAAAGAUCAGGGCUCAACCUCAACGUUCGAAUUCAAUCACCAGACCAAGCACAGCCUCUACACCUAACUUGCGAGAUCUCAAAAAGAAAUCUGAUGAGCAAGAAGAGACCAUAGAGAAGCUAGCUCAGACAGUUGAGGAACUUAAGAGUAAACUGGAUCAUAUGCAAGAGAUAGCUCAAUCCAAAUGCGGGAAUAACACUAUCCCGAGAAAAAAGAUUACUUCAAGAUGGUCUAAGGAGAUAGAUUAUCCACCAGAAGAGAAAGAGGCCUAUUUCGAGGAAAGAAGAAUUGAGUAUUCUGCUACUCAUCUCUCAAGAGAGGAUGCUGAAUAUGAUGAUGAGAUCAGAGAGGACUAUGAAGAUCCUCUCUAUCACCCAUUUUCUUCUUAAUGAGUGUGAGGAGUCAAGCUAGAGACUUUAAACAAGCUCACUUGGGAGGAAUUCCCAAGACUGUUUCUGUAAAUAAAACUUUUAUUUUCUUGUUAUUUUUGAUUUGUUUUUGGUUGUGUUUGUGAUUCUCAGGAACAGAGAAACAGCGUGGAGGUAGAGUAAAAAUUUAAAAAUUUUACUCUACAGAGCAACAGGAGAACGAGUAUGUCAGAAAUUCAAGAGUUUGAAAAACUUUUGUUGCACUAAGAGGCCAUGAGGUCGAGUAAGUUUGGUCGAGUAUUAGUGAUGAUUUUAAAAAAACCCAAAAUUUUUAAAUCAUAUCUAUACUCGACCAACAGAAGCUACAGAGACUUGCAGGGAGUUUAACAAGUUUACAGAGGAUUACAGAAGGUUCUAGUCAACAGAGAACAGCGCUUCAGGACAAACAGACAGAGCGUGGCCAACCACCUCUCACCUUUGUUCCCCCACGCGUUUUUAGAGAUAACAAAAUCUCUUCCCUCUUUCCCAACCACUCGAUCUCACUCUAUCCCUAUCCUCUCCCACCGACAUCAUCUCUCUCCCUCUCCAAACACUCGACCAAGAAGAUUCACUCUACCUCACGUUUCUCACUCGACCAAACCUCACCAUCUCUCUUCCUCUCCAAGCACUUGACCGCACCAUCACACUCGACCUCACCGUUCACUCGAUCUCUCCCCUCCGGCUUCACCAUCUCUCGCUGCUUUGUCACCCUCUCACUCGACCAAACCUCACUCGUCAUCUCUCGCACCGCCUCCCAUUUACUCGAUUGCAACGCCCUCCUCUCCAUCCGCCGCUUUCUCGACCUCGUCGUCCCAGCUCUCACUGCUCACGCCUCCGCCCUCUCUCUCUCAUUCACUCGACGACGGGACAGGUUUCAUCUUCACUCAACCGCUACUCGACUUCUUUCACUCGACCGCAUCGCAAUUUGGACAAAGAGGCUCUUCAUUCGAUUUUCGAUAAACGGCCAGAGUUUCUCUCUCUCGUUCUCGCAAGCUAACUCGACUUCGCCGGAGCUUCUCGUCGUUCACUCGACCACUCCGCCCUUCACUCCGCCGGACUCUCACCGUCGCCUCCUUUUCACUCGAUCUCGCCGCUCCAACUUCAACAUUCCUCACUCGAUCUCGCCUCCCAUUCACUCGACCGCAAGAGCACCUCAGCCUCUACUUCGAUCUCUUUCUCUCAACUCUCCGUUCUCACCGUUCACUCGACCUCGCCAUUCACUUCGCCUCCGUUCAUCUCUUCACUCGACCGCUCCUCAAACCGCCACCGUCUUCUCUCCAUUCGACAUUUACUCGGCCACACAGUCACCGUUUCUCAUUCUCUUCCACUCGACCACAAAAUUUGAACACACAAUUUGACUAUACUCGACCGGUUACUCGACCGUGAACUUGAUUGGUUUAGUGUUUGUGUUUAUUUGGACUAACAUAUUGAUAUUUGGUUUUAAGUUACAUUAUUUUUCAGGAAAUCAAUAUGAGUAACUACAGUGGCGAAUCCUCCAUGGAUGCAGAUUACAACGUCGAUGAAGCUGAAUCUUGGUCAACUGGACCAGAGAGAGAGCGACAGGCUUAUGAGAGCUUUAGAGCUGAGACCCAACGCUCAGUAGCUCGACGCAAUGAGAAGAGAGCUGAGAUUGCUAGAGAAAGAGAGCAAUGACCAGCAGAUAUGAGUUGAUCGACGAAGAUAUUGACGUCGAGUAUGAGCCUGAGUCAUGGCACAGAGAAACGAAGCUGUUGAACAAGCCUGAUGAACGACUUCUGGGGAACGAGGUACCCCUGUUAUGAGACUUUAGCAUAGCUGGGGCUACUGGAGGACGUACAUCACUUAUUCGAGAAGUGCCAUCUGGAGACGCUGAUGUCUUACCCGUACGUCGCUUACAAGAAGGAAACAAUAGAGUUUCUCUUCACUCUGCAAGUGGAGAUGUAUCAGGGACUUACAGCAGAUGAGCUGGAGAGUGAAGGGUUGGGGUUCUUGACUUUUUCAGUGAACGAGCAGCGUUACCAGCUAUCUAUCAAGAGCUUGGAAGGAUUAUUUGGUUUUCCCAGUGGAAAGGGAACUAAACCCAAGUUCGAGAGGGAAGAGUUGAAGGAUUUGUGGUUAACCAUUGGGAACGAUUUGGCGCUCAACUUUGCAAGGUCUAAGAGCAACCAGAUUCGUAGCCCUGUGAUCCGCUACUAUCAGCGCUCAGUAGCGAAUGUUCUGUACCCCAGGGAAUCUACAGGCACCGUGUUUAACACAGACAUGGAGAUGAUUGAUUCUCCACUCAAGGGCAUUCUCCGGAGAACAAAGGGGAAGAAGGUCCUAAAGGGCGACCUUAAUGAUGCACCACCGGUUAUGCUUCUGUUGAUCCACCUAUGUGGAUACAGGAAGUGGGCGCACACCAACGGGAAGAAGAAGGUGCGAGGAGCCCUUUGUGUAGGUGGCGUUGUGACACCGAUUCUGAUUGCAUGUGGUGUACCUCUCACGUCUCCAAGGUUUGAUCCGAGGAUGAUGGAUUUAGAUCACUUGCGUUGUUGUGAGUUUCUGGAGUAUGAUAUGGUUGGCGAUUUCUAUCGCUACAAAUUCGAGCACUCCCUGAUCCGAACAGCCAACAUUUUGCUUCCCUGCAUCGAGGCCACGACCAUACUUCAGGGUAGGAACAUUGACUUCAAACCUGCACGUGAUUACCUCUACUUUGAGAGCGCUCCACCGACUGAUGAUAAUGUCCCUACGACGGAAGCUAUAGAGGAUGAUAUUGCUGAGACGGAUGAGGAUAGGGAGGAGGAGUACGAUACGAGCAUGUAUCAUUUCAGAGAGCACGUACCUCCAGCGCGGGAGAGCAAGAGCUUGAGUGAAGCUCACAGAAACAACAGUAAGUUGCAGAGGUGGUGCAAGAAACAAGAUAGGCUACUCAUCAAGUGCUUCAAAGCCAUCACGUUUCUGACAGACAAGCUUAGCUGCUUCUCUUCUACCACAGCUAUUCCGCAGGGAGAGCGUCCUCAGGACAUGCCUUCGAGGAGAUAUGACGCGCCAGGGCCAAGUCAUCACAGGCCUGAGCCAAGUCACCACAAGCCUGAGCCUAGUGACCGAGUAGUCCCACCAGUCCCUGCAAGGCAUUCAUCAUUCGAGCCUCGGGAGCUCGGGAGAAAGAAGAAGGCUGCACUCGCUCGGUCUGGCAGCAGGAGUACACGACUUCUCCAGUCCCGUAGCUUACGCGACCGCGGUGCUGGCCGCAGCAGAAGAAGAGAGGUCGAGUAUCAUCAGAGCGGUGCUGGCCGCGACGAAGGAGCAGAGGUCGAGUACCCCCAGGGGGAAGCUGAGACACAGCAGGGAGAUUCUUCGAUGGCCUGGGAGCAAUCACAGGCAGCUAUUGGCGACCAACUUCGCUCCUUCUUCCACUGAGGUAUGCACCUCACUCCACCAUUGUAAUAUACCAUCUCUUGUUUUUAUUUUGUUUUUGUGAUGUGUUUUGUCCUAAGUACUCUCUUCCAAAUUUGGUCACACAGUGGACUGUGUGAUUUAAGUUUGGGGGAGGGCUCAGAAAGUGUGUAUUGCAUUGUAUAUAAUCUUGAGUCUGCAUUCAUCUAAGGCAUAGAAAAGAACCAAAAAAAUUGAAAAAUUUCAGAAAAUGAUUUCACAAAAAUAGAGUGUUCAUGUAGUUGCAUUGCAUUUAGGAUCGAGUCUAGAGUGUUUCGUUUAGGAUUGUUGCAUAUGCAUAGGGGAUAAUGAUGAGAUAGCCUUGUAAGCAUUUUGGUUCACCAGAUAAGCUCAGUGCCCUCGUUGUUAGUUGUUUGAUGCGUUGUCAUUGAAAUUGAAGUAAAACUGCACCAUGCCUAGAUUGCUCUACUCGACCACACUGUUAGGAUCUGAUAUCAUUCCCUAUCAAUUUGAACUUGAAUCUGAUUUAGAAUUAUCAUGUCUUGGCAUCGAAUUUGAACUCAUGGAUACCCUAAAAUACUUGGAUUUUCUUACUCCUUUUAACCACUCUUGUUGAUCCAAAUAGCUGACUCUCCUUAUUAGAGCAGUUAACCCGAACCCAAACAUGAACUUUCUUUCAAGCCCUAUAUCACUUGUGAGUGUUUGUGAGGUCUUAUUUCGAUUGAGCUUGGUAAAAAGUGUUAGCUUCGUAACGACAGAGAUAGUGUCUCAUGUAGUUCUAGUUCGCGUUCUUCGGACUGGAUAGGACUAGGUGGGCGCUUAUAUCAUGGGUUGGGAUGUCUUUAAA
rnacentral:sRNA from 1 species